GAUGAAGAACGCAGCGAAAUGCGAUAAGUAGUGUGAAUUGCAGAAUUCAGUGAAUCAUCGAAUCUUUGAACGCACAUUGCGCCCUAUAGUAUUCUGUAGGGCAUGCAUGUUCGAGCGUCAUUUGUACCUUCAAGCUUUGCUUGGUGUUGGGUGUUUGUCCUCUCCCUGGUGUUUGGACUCGCCUUAAAACAAUUGGCAGCCAGUGUUUUGGUAUUGAAGCGCAGCACAAUUUGCGAUUCUGGCCUUAAAAUACUAGCGUCCAUAAGUACAUUCUCACUUUUGACCUCGGAUCAUGUAGGGAUACCCGCUGAACUUAAGCAUAUCAAUAAGCGGAGGA
rnacentral:misc_RNA from 1 species